AAUUUGACAACAAUCCUAAAGUUUAUAAUACAAGCUAAAGGGACCUCUCCUAAACUAUCAGUGAUAAAAUAUAAAUAUUAAAUAACCUCGAUAGGGAAACUAUUUUUCCUACUCUUUCUAUAGGAAAAAUAUUGCAAAAUCAUUGCCAUAUGAAGAGGCCAAAAAGAACCCAAGUGAAAUGUACAUACAUACAUAGUUUGAUCAGUCCUUAGAAUGCUCGAUAUUGGGUUUAUAUGUAGAAAUAACCAUUGAAAUCAUCAUUAUAAGAGCCAAAAACUCCCCUGAAAUAAAUCAUAAGACCCUCGUUUGAGAGGUGCCCUCCCUAUACUGGAAGGAAAGGAACAUUUUCUGAAGACACAGAAACACAGAAGAAUCUGAACAAACAGGCCUUGCUAAAUUCCCCUAUACCAUUUGUACUAUUAGAUCAUACUUCAUUUGUCCAAGCAUGCUUCUCCAUGACUAUCCAAGUAUUUACAAGUAGGAGAUUAGUGAUGGCAUCAGGCAUGGUCAA
rnacentral:lncRNA from 1 species